GUAUGGUCGUUAACAUUGAUGGUUUUAUACCCAAAAACCAUCCGCCUGGGAACUACGAGCAAUAGCUUAUAACCCAAAGGACUUGGCGGUGCUUUAGACCCCCCUAGAGGAGCCUUGUCUAGAACUGAUAACCCCGGUUUAACCUCACCAUCCUUUGUUUUCCCCGCCUAUACACCGUCGUCAGCUUACCCUGUGA
rnacentral:rRNA from 1 species